rnacentral:rRNA from 1 species
GACGAACGCUGGCGGCGUGCUUAACACAUGCAAGUCGAACGAAGUGGCGAACGGGUGAGUAACGCGUAAUCAACCUGCCCUUCAGAGGGGGACAACAGUUGGAAACGACGGCUAAUACCGCAUACUGAAGGAGGGGAUUGCGUCUGAUUAGCUAGUUGGAGGGGUAACGGCCCACCAAGGCGAUGAUAAGUAGCCGGUCUGGGAGGAUGGACGGCCACAUUGGGACUGAGACACGGCCCAGACUCCUACGGGAGGCAGCAGUGGGGAAUCUUCCGCAAUUGACGAAAGUCUGGCGGAGCAACGCCGCGUGGGAGAUGACGGCCUUCGGGUUGUAAAGCUCUGUUAAGCGGGACGCGGUACCGGAAUAGAAAGCCACGGCUAACUACGUGCCAGCAGCCGCGGUAAUUC